GGAGGUGAUGGAAAGAGCACGUGGAGGAAGAAUGGAGUACGUGGCUUUGAGGUCGGUCAGGUUUGUCGCCACGAAUUGUGUGGAACAAGGCAUUUCUAGUGGAUUGCAUGCGGUUCUGAGUAAACUAAGAUUGACAUCUAUCCAAGUCCGGAGACUGGUGGUGUGUUGUGAAGAGAGAAAGAGCCAACGAGAAUGGAACAGGUGGAGGUUAACAAUGGCAUGCGAAGCAACAGCACAUAAAUGGAGAAGAAGGAAGGGGAUUGGAGGGAAGACACCAUCGAGAUAGUCCUCGUGGAAUGUGCGUGCGCGCGGUCGGCCGAUCGAGAUCGGAGAGCGAGAUCGAUGACAGUG
rnacentral:lncRNA from 1 species